rnacentral:rRNA from 1 species
UACAGAGGUCCCAAGCGUUGUUCGGAUUCAUUGGGCGUAAAGGGUGCGUAGGCGGCGCGGUAAGUCGGGUGUGAAAUCUCGGAGCUUAACUCCGAAACUGCAUUCGAUACUGCCGUGCUUGAGGACUGGAGAGGAGACUGGAAUUUACGGUGUAGCGGUGAAAUGCGGAGAUAUCGUAAGGAAGACCAGUGGCGAAGGCGGGUCUCUGGACAGUUCCUGACGCUGAGGCACGAAGGCCAGGGGAGCAAACGGG